rnacentral:rRNA from 1 species
GAUGAACGCUGGCGGCGUGCCUAAUACAUGCAAGUCGAGCGCACAGAUGAGGAGCUUGCUCCUCUGACGUUAGCGGCGGACGGGUGAGUAACACGUGGAUAACCUACCUAUAAGACUGGGAUAACUUCGGGAAACCGGAGCUAAUACCGGAUAAUAUAUUGAACCGCAUGGUUCAAUAGUGAAUGACGGUUUUGCUGUCACUUAUAGAUGGUUCCGCGCCGCAUUAGCUAGUUGGUAAGGUAACGGCUUACCAAGGCAACGAUGCGUAGCCGACCUGAGAGGGUGAUCAGCCACACUGGAACUGAGACACGGUCCAGACUCCUACGGGAGGCAGCAGUAGGGAAUAUUCCGCAAUGGGCGAAAGCCUGACGGAGCAACGCCGCGUGAGUGAAGAAGGUCUUCGGAUCGUAAAACUCUGUUAUUAGGGAAGAACAAAUGUGUAUGGAUCUAUGCCUGUCUUGACGGUACCUAAUCAGUAAGCCACGGCUAACUACGUG